rnacentral:rRNA from 1 species
CCUACGGGUGGCAGCAGUGAGGAAUAUUGGUCAAUGGGCGAAAGCCUGAACCAGCCAAGUCGCGUGAGGGAAUAAGGCCCUACGGGUUGUAAACUUCUUUUGUCGGGGAGCAAUUGCGUGGACGUGUCCCCUCCCCGAGAGUACCCGGAGAAACAGCCUCGGCUAACUCCGUGCCAGCAGCCGCGGUAAUACGGAGGAUGCGAGCGUUAUCCGGAUUUAUUGGGUUUAAAGGGUGCGUAGGCGGAAUAUUAAGUCAGCGGUAAAAAUUCGGGGCUCAACCCCGUCGGGCCGUUGAAACUGAGGGCCUGGAGUGGGCGAGAAGUAGGCGGAAUGCGUGGUGUAGCGGUGAAAUGCAUAGAUAUCACGCAGAACCCCGAUUGCGAAGGCAGCAUACCGGCGCCCUACUGACGCUGAGGCACGAAAGUGUGGGGAUCGAACAGGAUUAGAUACCCGUGUAGUC